UCAAACAGCCAUGCCUUCUUUUUUAGUCCUCUCCUUUCAAACUUCUCUCUCAAUUGUACUUUUUAUUCUCCCCUUUCUCUCGUCCCCUCCCCCCACUGAGCCUGCCUCCCCGCCGCUGGCAGUGCACAUACCAUGAGCACACACAUGCACACACAUGCACAAAAGCUCGUAAAGCAGAGCUACACACCCCCCAGCCAGAGAGAUCACAUUCAGUUGCAGCACACUGAAGCCCCUCUCUGCUCGCUCCUGCACUUUUUGAGCCGUCACUCUCAGGACCAAGGCGCCCCAUCUGCAGAUAGGCGGAGGACAGGAACAGGACAGGACACGCACCCUCAACACCACACAGCAGCACCGCAGACAUGUCGGACUCUGAGACCGCCGCCGCCCCCGCCGAGGCCCCCGUCCCCGCCGCUUGCGCCGCCAUCAAGGCCGACCUGGACAAAUGCGUGGCAGAGAAGGGAGCCGAGGGCUGCAAAGAUCUGAUGGAGGCCUUUGCUGCUUGUGUGAAGAGUGCAGCUGAGGGGACGUCAUGAGGAGUCGCCCUCCAACCUCAAAUGUCCACUGCACUGAGUCCUCCAAGUUCCCAGCAUUCCCUUCUGCACAACAACACUGGACUGAAUGAUGACAACGGUGACGAUGACGACGAUGAGGAUGAAGACGAUCACGGCGUGACAAACAAUGUGUUGAUUCGGGCUGAAUUUGGGAUGUGGUGGCAGUAACCACGGUCUCCUCCCCCCUGUCCUCCCCCCUGUUAUAGGCUUAUCUGGUGUCCCUCCGUCUUACCGCCCUCCUGCUCCCCGUACGGCUGACAUGCAGCACCUCGACAUGUAGACAAUUCCAGAAGAGCUGAGCUGUAAUGUAAAUUGUCGACUUGAGAUGAAAACUUAUAAAUGGAAAUAAAAGUAUCAAAUAAUUGGUA